AUACAUGUAGACAGCAAAUUAAA
rnacentral:piRNA from 1 species